GGAAGCCGGUGAGAAUCCGGCGCGGUCGCGCCACUGUGAGCGGUCUCCGAUCCUGGGGGCCGCGAGCCAGGACGC
rnacentral:sRNA from 18 species